AGUGAACGCUGGCGGUAGGCCUAACACAUGCAAGUCGAACGGCAGCACAGUAAGAGCUUGCUCUUACGGGUGGCGAGUGGCGGACGGGUGAGGAAUACAUCGGAAUCUACUUUUUCGUGGGGGAUAACGUAGGGAAACUUACGCUAAUACCGCAUACGACCUACGGGUGAAAGCAGGGGAUCUUCGGACCUUGCGCGAUUGAAUGAGCCGAUGUCGGAUUAGCUAGUUGGCGGGGUAAAGGCCCACCAAGGCGACGAUCCGUAGCUGGUCUGAGAGGAUGAUCAGCCACACUGGAACUGAGACACGGUCCAGACUCCUACGGGAGGCAGCAGUAGGGAAUAUUGGGCAAUGGGCGCAAGCCUGAUCCAGCCAUACCGCGUGAGUGAAGAAGGCCUUCGGGUUGUAAAGCCCUUUUGUUGGGAAAGAAAAGCAGCAGGUUAAUACCCCGCUGUUCUGACGGUACCCAAAGAAUAAGCACCGGCUAACUUCGUG
rnacentral:rRNA from 1 species